rnacentral:rRNA from 1 species
UACGGGAGGCAGCAGUGGGGAAUAUUGCACAAUGGGCGAAAGCUGAUGCAGCGACGCCGCGUGAGGGAUGACGGCCUUCGGGUUGUAAACCUCUUUCAGCAGGGACGAAGCGCAAGUGACGGUACCUGCAGAAGAAGCACCGGCUAACUACGUGCCAGCAGCCGCGGUAAUA